GGGGCCGACAUUGCGACACCACGGAGCUCCAGCCGGCUGAGGCGGAUGAGCAUGCCGCAGGGCGGCGGAGGUUGACGAAGAGAGACAAGCCUCACAGGGCUGCCACUAGGAAUGUGUGUAAUAUUCAGGCAGAGAUUGUGCUCUAAGAUUAUUACUCCAGCUGAUACCCUUUGGAAUUCUGGAACGAACAGGAGAGGCCGAGCCAGUUAAAGACCCACCACGAGAACCCACUAAAAUCACAGGAAUGUUUGCACGAGAUGAAAUUACCACAGGAAAAACCUGAAUUAACCAUUCUAAUGUCACCUGUUUUCCAUCAACUUAAAAAUCACUGAUAUUGGGCUAUUUCCUGGCUGCCAUGUCCUGAGCUGCUUUCCUCUUCCAUGCCCUUCCACCAUGAUGUUGUGUGUCACCUUGAGACAAGAGUUAAGGAAUCAGCUGACCAUGGACUGAGCUUCUGAAACUGUGAGCCAAAAUAAACUUUUCCUCCUUUAACUGCUCUUGUCAGGUCUUUUGGUCACAGCAACACAAAGCUGACUAAAACAGAAAUUUGUACCAAGAAGUGGGGUCAUUGUUAUGACUAACCUGACCACAUGGCCCUGAAGCUCUUGGAGUUGGUUUGUGGGUGGAUGAAUUUUGAAAAGUUUAGAGAUGUAAGCUGGAAAAACUAGAACACUAUAAGUGGAACUUACCAUAGAUGAGUUAGGUGGAAGCUCAGUAGACCAGAAUGACGAGAGGACAGCAGACAGUAAAGACUGGGCUCAUGAGGUUUCAGAGGAGGAGGAACACUGUACUGGAAAUUAGAAUAGAGGCCAUUCAUGUUAUAUUCUGGCAAAUAUUCUGUUGUCCAUGUUCUGCCCAUGUCCUGAGACUUUCUGUGAGGCCUAAUUUAAAGGUGAUGAACUAAUAAAUUAAUUAGGCAGAAGAAAUUUCAAGAAAGCACAGCAUUCUGGUGUGGAUGCUUUUUAGCCAAGUUUAUUGUGAUAAUCAGGGAGCAGAGCAGAAAGAUUUGAAAAUCUUGCAGUUUGACCAGAAAAAUGAGAGUAAAACUGGAGCUAAGGAAGUUGUGAUUGUUAAAGACAUCACAGGCAUGAAAGAGAGGCU